rnacentral:rRNA from 1 species
CAGCCGCCGCGGGAAUACGUAGGUCCCGAGCGUUGUCCGGAUUUAUUGGGCGUAAAGCGAGCGCAGGCGGUUAGAUAAGUCUGAAGUUAAAGGCUGUGGCUUAACCAUAGUACGCUUUGGAAACUGUUUAACUUGAGUGCAAGAGGGGAGAGUGGAAUUCCAUGUGUAGCGGUGAAAUGCGUAGAUAUAUGGAGGAACACCGGUGGCGAAGGCGACUCUCUGGUCUGUAACUGACGCUGAGGAGCGAAAGUGUGGGGAGCGAACAGGAUUAGAUACCCCUGUAGUCCCUGUCUCUUAUACA